rnacentral:lncRNA from 1 species
UGGGUGCACAAAUGCGGUGGGUGCCCACGUGGGUUGGGUGGUGUGGUGUUUGUUGGCGUUUCAAAGCUUUAUCUAUCGCAUGUCUCUCUGCAACUCCCAAAAGCAUAAUCUGUCUAAUUAUCACACUCUACUCCGUACAAAUUACUGUCUGUGCUACUUUCGGUCUACUCGUUCUCUGCCUUUCUCCUUGUGCUUUGUUUCUGUAGACCACCACAGUUUUCAAAGAUCUCUCUUGUUUUGGCUUCUGGAUUUUUCCCAGUUGGCGAAUUUGUGGUAAGAAACCUUGGAUCUCUGGCUGUUUGGUUUUCAUCUUCAUGCUGCCUUUUUCUUUACUCUUAUUAGGGACUUAUGCUUAUGCUCUAUAUCAGAUUCUUGCAUCUUUUUUUAUCUACUGCUUUGGUAUGGACUGAUGGGAAUCCAUAUCUAAGUUGAUGAAGUUAACUUGAUGAGCUGGCACUAUGGUUAGUUUGUUAAACAUCAGUUAGGCUAGGGUUAGUUGAGGGUUUGUUUGGUUUGGGUUAGCACUAUAUCAGUCGAGAGAGUUUGUAUUGUAAGGGUUGUUGAGAGAAAUGUAAUUUUUUUUGGGUGAAAACGGGGGGACAAACCCCUUUACCAUUUUUUGGGUAAACAAAUAGUGACAGUGUUGUUCUUGAGAUAUUGAGUGAAGGUAGAAGGCAGGUUUUAUCAUGGGCAGCCAUCUUUUGUCCGUUUAAUAUCAUCUCUUGAGCGGUUAAGCCAUUUAAUUCUCUUUGCAUUUCCCAUUUUCUUUCUUUCAUCAUCUUCAUCCAAAUGUUAAAGUUUUACAUAUUAGUGUUUAUGACUUUUUUUUAAAGAAAAUAAAUGUUGGUAUUUCUGGACCCUCACCUCCAUUAUAAAUGAUAUUCACAUAAGUUGGGGAGAUUAAGAUCUUUAUGAUCAUUGGUAUCAUCAUAACAUUAUCACAGCCCUCGUUGAACUGCCUUGGGACUCCAUUAUUCAUGGAAUUGCCAGCUUCAGUUAGGCAUUUCAGUCAUCAGGUAUUUGAACUAGUGGCUUAGCCAAAACAAUCCUCAAUUCGCUAAAGAAAAUGUGAAACUUGUGCUAUCGCUGCCAUUAGCUCCAAGAGAAUGUAUACUUUUUCCCCAUAUUUGUUGCUCACUAUUUCAUUGCUCUUUUGAUUUUCCUUUUGUAAAUGGCCUUUUCAGUCGUUAGGUCUUGUGGUAUAAUUUGUUAGUGAUUUGUUAAACCUUUGCGAUACUCUUUUCUUCUGGGAAGAGUUUCAUGCUGCGGAUUGAAAUCAAUUCUUGAGAAGAGAAGAAAGAAUUGAAAAUCAUCAUUCAGCAACUGCAAUGGUAAAACUUGAAAUGUUGUGUUCUUUGAAGGGUUUUAGAUUUAUGUAGUGUAAAUUAUUUUAUCUGUUGCUUUUUCUUCUUGGCAUAGCAGGCACAGACAAAAUAGUCUGUUAUCUGCCGAAUACAAUGCAAAUUAAUGACCAUAUGAAUGAUUGUAGCCAGUAGAAGUUGGUUUUAGAAGCUGUUUUAAACCUUCUUGCAUAAAUCAUUUUCCACCAUUCCACUCUGAAUAAAUUUGAAAGAAAGUAAAAGACAUACUUUCAUAGAAAGUUCUCUCCUUCUUAACCUUGGGAAUGCCAUAGUUAUCAGUACAGUAAUAACUGACAACAUAUACGAGGUUGUCAUGUUCAAUUAAUGAAAAUUUUAAUAUCAACAAUAAAGAAUUAGUUUGCACUUUGAACCGUCCAGCAUAGUCAAAUAUGGUGCAACUUACUGCUACAUCACUUAUUUGCUAGCUUAGCUUCAUAACAGAUAGCUAGACUGAGUUUCUCUCUCAUUUUUUGAAGUUGUAGGUGAAAAGAAAGAAAGAGUUUCCAAUCCAAUCCAAAGAUCUAUCAAAGAUCUUAAAAAUCAAUCAAUCAAUCCAAGUGAAUGGCGAACAUAGACAUCGGGGGAAUAAUGAAGGAUCUGCCCAACGAUGGGCGUAUCCCCAAAACAAAGAUCGUGUGCACGUUGGGCCCAUCCUCCCGGUCGGUGGUGAUGUUGGAGAAGCUGCUGAGGGCUGGCAUGAACGUCGCCCGCUUUAACUUCUCCCAUGGGACCCACGACUACCACCAGGAGACCCUAAACAAUCUCCGCACUGCCAUGCACAACACCCAGAUCCUCUGCGCCAUCAUGCUCGACACCAAGGUCUCUCUCUUUCCUUACCCUUUUUUUCAUUUCACAUUUCCCGUCUGCUACUUACUUAAAUAUGUCAUACUUAUGCGCCGUCAUGCUCAACACCAAGAUCCUCUGCGCCGUUAUGCUCGACACCAACGCUACUUCUGAACAUGUCAUACUUAUGCUUGAAGUACCGCUAAUUAGAAUUGUUUAACCAUGAAUUUGCCAUUUCUUUUUUGUAGGGGCCUGAGAUUCGUACUGGAUUCCUCAAUGGUGGCAAACCUAUUCAACUUAAGGAAGGGCAGGAAAUCACCAUUACUAUUGAUUACGACAUUAAGGGGGACCAAGAGAUGAUUUCCAUGAGCUACAAGAAGCUGGCUGUGGACUUGAAGCCUGGAAAUACCAUUUUAUGUGCAGAUGGUACCAUUUCCCUCACUGUAUUGUCUUGUGAUCUAGCAGCUGGUACAGUUAGGUGCCGCUGUGAGAACACUGCAAUGCUGGGUGAGAGAAAAAAUGUCAAUCUUCCUGGUGUCGUGGUGGAUCUUCCUACACUGACAGAGAAGGAUAAGGAAGAUAUUCUGGAAUGGGGUGUGCCCAACAAGAUUGAUAUGAUUGCUCUUUCAUUUGUACGCAAGGGAUCAGAUCUUGUUAAUGUCCGUAAAGUUCUUGGACCCCAUGCCAAGCACAUACAAUUGAUGUCAAAGGUAUGUGCCAUUUCAAUGUUUAAUUAUCCAGGCAUUCAUAUACUAAGAUGACCUGCAGCUUUAUUUUUUUUUCGGUUUUUGUGUUUUGUUUUGUGUCUGCAUUCUCUCUCUCUCUCUCUCUCUCUCUCUCUCUCUCUCUCUCUCUCACAUAGCAAAUAAACUAAUGGAUUUAUUGAUAGUAGACUGGAUAUUAUUUUCAUUAGUUAACAAGUGAAUGUGUGUUUCUUGUGGUUUCUAAAGGUUGAGAACCAGGAAGGAGUUAUCAACUUUGAUGAAAUAUUGCGUGAGACUGAUUCAUUCAUGGUUGCCCGUGGUGAUCUUGGAAUGGAAAUCCCAGUUGAAAAAAUCUUCCUGGCACAGAAAAUGAUGAUAUAUAAGUGUAAUCUUGUGGGGAAGCCUGUGGUCACUGCCACUCAGAUGCUUGAAUCAAUGAUCAAGUCUCCGCGGCCAACCCGUGCUGAAGCCACAGAUGUAGCUAAUGCUGUCCUUGAUGGCACUGAUUGUGUCAUGCUUAGUGGUGAGAGUGCAGCUGGGUCCUAUCCGGAACUUGCUGUGAAGAUCAUGGCUCGAAUAUGUAUUGAGGCAGAAUCUUCCCUUGAUUACGGGGCUAUCUUUAAGGAGAUGAUAAAGUCGACACCACUUCCAAUGAGCCCGUUGGAGAGUCUUGCAUCCUCCGCUGUCCGAACAGCCAACAAGGCCAGAGCCAAACUCAUUGUUGUGUUGACACGUGGUGGGAGCACAGCCAAAUUGGUGGCCAAGUACAGGCCAGCAGUUCCUAUCCUGUCGGUGGUUGUUCCAGUUUUGACAACAGACUCAUUUGAUUGGAGCUGCAGUGAUGAGACCCCGGCAAGGCAUAGCCUGAUCUACAGGGGGCUGAUUCCUCUAUUGGCUGAAGGAUCUGCAAAAGCUACUGAUGCAGAAUCCACGGAGGUGAUCCUGGAAGCUGCUCUCAAGUCAGCAACAGAGAGGGGACUGUGCAAGCUUGGUGAUGCAGUGGUGGCACUUCAUCGUAUUGGAGUCGCCUCUGUUAUUAAGAUAUGCGUGGUAAAAUAAAAUUGAGGAUGCAGAAUGUCAACAUUUGCGUUGUUAAGGCAGACAGUGUGGCUGAGAUGGACUUGUACUUUGCUUUCUUUCUAGUAUCUCUGUACUUUAUUAUGUUUUAGCUAGCCUUACACAGCGCACUGAAAAGUGUAGUUAUUUUCCAUUUCCUUAAGCCAUGCGAGAGAGGAUAUUUGGUCGCUCUGUAUUUUUAUUGCUUUAUGAUGCACAAAAUGUAUCAGCUGUCAUGGAGUUUUCAUGAAACAGUCUGCAGCACAUGGUUGGAUAAAUGUGGAGAUGCCGCCACACUUGUGUUUAUGAGCAAGA